AAAUGAAUAGACGGGGACCCGCACAAGCGGUGGAUUAUGUUCUUUAAUUCGAUGAUAACCGAAGAACCUUACCAGGGUUUGAAAUCCCGAGAAUUAAUCCGAAAGGAUUGAGUGCUUUAUUGAACUCGGUGACAGAUGUUGCAUGGCCGUCGUCAGCUCGUGUCGUGAGAUGUUUGGUUAAGUCCAUCAACGAGCGCAACCCUUGUCAGUAGUUGUAUUUUUCUACUGAAACUGCCCCGGCAACGGGGAGGAAGGAGGGGAUGAUGUCAGGUCAGUAUUACUCUUACAUCCUGGGCUAGAAACGUAAUACAAUGGCUGGUACAAUGCGUCGCGAAGCCGCGAGGUGAAGCAAAUCGCAUCAAAGCCAGUCCCAGUUCGGAUUGGAGGCUGAAACUCGCCUCCAUGAAGUCGGAAUCGCUAGUAAUCGCAGAUCAGCAAGCUGCGGUGAAUACGUUCCCGGGUCUUGUACACACCGCCCGU
rnacentral:rRNA from 1 species